rnacentral:rRNA from 1 species
UACGGAGGGUGCAAGCGUUAAUCGGAAUUACUGGGCGUAAAGCGUGCGCAGGCGGUUUGUUAAGUCUGCUGUGAAAUCCCCGAGCUCAACUUGGGAAUUGCAGUGGAUACUGGCAGGCUGGAGUAUGGUAGAGGAAGGUGGAAUUCCCGGUGUAGCAGUGAAAUGCGCAGAUAUCAGGAGGAACACCGGUGGCGAAGGCGGUUCUCUGGGCUGUAACUGACGCUGAGGAGCGAAAGCAUGGGGAGCGAACAGG